rnacentral:rRNA from 1 species
UGAAAGCUGGCGUCUUCGGCGUCCGCAUUGUAAUCUCAAGAAGUGUUUUCCGCUUCGGACCAAGCCUAAGUCCCUUGGAAAAGGGCAUCAUAGAGGGUGAUAAUCCCGUACAUGGCUUGGAGCGCCCGAAGCUUUGUGAUACGCUUUCUAAGAGUCGAGUUGUUUGGGAAUGCAGCUCAAAAUGGGUGGUAAAUGCCAUCUAAGGCUAAAUAUUGGGGAGAGACCGAUAGCGAACAAGUACAGUGAUGGAAAGAUGAAAAGAACUUUGAAAAGAGAGUUAAACAGUACGUGAAAUUGCCAAAAGGGAAGGGUAGGAGGUCAGAGAUGCGGCCUGGGAUUCAGCCUUGCUUUUGCUUGGUGUUUUUCCCAGAUUGCAGGCCAACGUCGGUUUUGGGCACUGGAGAAGGGUAGGAGGAACGUGGCACCUCUCGGGGUGUGUUAUAGCCUCCUACUGGAUACAGCGACCGAGACCGAGGACAGCAGCGUACUCGCAAGAGCGGGCCUUCGGGCACCUUUACGCUUAGGGCGUUGGCAUAAUGGC